AGCGGCAGCUUACACAUGCAGUCGAGCGGUAACAGGGGGUGCUUGCACCCCGCUGACGAGCGGCGGACGGGUGAGUAAUGCAUAGGAAUCUGCCCAGUAGUGGGGGAUAGCCCGGGGAAACCCGGAUUAAUACCGCAUACGCCCUUUGGGAGAAAGCAGGGGAUCUUCGGACCUUGCGCUAUUGGAUGAGCCUAUGUCGGAUUAGCUAGUUGGUGGGGUAAAGGCCUACCAAGGCGACGAUCCGUAGCUGGUCUGAGAGGAUGAUCAGCCACAUCGGGACUGAGACACGGCCCGAACUCCUACGGGAGGCAGCAGUGGGGAAUAUUGGACAAUGGGGGCAACCCUGAUCCAGCCAUGCCGCGUGUGUGAAGAAGGCUUUCGGGUUGUAAAGCACUUUCAGUGAGGAGGAAAACCUUCUGGUUAAUACCCAUGAGGCUUGACGUUACUCACAGAAGAAGCACCGGCUAACUCCGUGCCAGCAGCCGCGGUAAUACGGAGGGUGCAAGCGUUAAUCGGAAUUACUGGGCGUAAAGCGCGCGUAGGUGGUUUGAUAAGCGAGAUGUGAAAGCCCCGGGCUUAACCUGGGAACGGCAUUUCGAACUGUCAGGCU
rnacentral:rRNA from 1 species